rnacentral:rRNA from 1 species
UACGUAGGUGGCGAGCGUUAUCCGGAAUUACUGGGCGUAAAGCGCAUGCAGGCGGCUCUUUAAGUCUGACGUGAAAGCUCCUGGCUUAACUGGGAGAGGUCGUUGGAAACUGGAGGGCUUGAGGCAAUGAGAGGGGUGUAGAACUCCCGGUGUAGUGGUGGAAUGCGUAGAUAUCGGGAGGAAUACCAGUGGCGAAAGCGGCACCCUGGCAUUGGCCUGACGCUCAUAUGCGAAAGCGUGGGGAGCAAACGGG